GAUGAACGCUGGCGGUGUGCCUAACACAUGCAAGUCGAGCGGCCGGACGAUAAGCUUGUUCCCCUGCGGUUAGCGGCUGACGGGCGAGUAACACGUGCAUCACCUACCUCUAUUUCGGGGAGAAUUUCGGGAAGCAGGAUCUAAUACCGGCGGAUAUGUUCAACCGCAGGGAGCAAAAGUUCAUCACGGUCUUGCCGACACUAAUAGCUGGUUUCGGGCUGCAUAAGCUAGUUGGUAAGGUAACGGCCUACCAAGGCGACGAUGCGUAGCCGACCUGAGAGGGUGGUCGGCGACACUGGAACUGAGACACGGUCCAGACUCCUACGGGAGGCAGCAGUGGGGAAUGUUAGGCAAUGGGCGCAAGCCUGACACAGCAAUACCGCGUGGGUGAAGAAGGUCUUCGGUUCGUAAAGCCCUGUUGUUGGGGAAGAACAGCUGUGGAAUUAAACGUCGCCAUUGUGACGGUACCGAAUCAGGAAGCACCGGCUAACUACGUG
rnacentral:rRNA from 1 species